AGUGAACGCUGGCGGUAGGCCUAACACAUGCAAGUCGAACGGCAGCACAGUAAGAGCUUGCUCUUACGGGUGGCGAGUGGCGGACGGGUGAGGAAUACAUCGGAAUCUACUUUUUCGUGGGGGAUAACGUAGGGAAACUUACGCUAAUACCGCAUACGACCUACGGGUGAAAGCAGGGGUUCUUCGGACCUUGCGCGAUUGAAUGAGCCGAUGUCGGAUUAGCUAGUUGGCGGGGUAAAGGCCCACCAAGGCGACGAUCCGUAGCUGGUCUGAGAGGAUGAUCAGCCACACUGGAACUGAGAAACGGUCCAGACUCCUACGGGAGGCAGCAGUGGGGAAUAUUGGACAAUGGGCGCAAGCCUGAUCCAGCCAUACCGCGUGGGUGAAGAAGGACUUCGGGUUGUAAAGCCCUUUUGUUGGGAAAGAAAAGCAGCAGGUUAAUACCCCGCUGUUCUGACGGUACCCAAAGAAUAAGCACCGGCUAACUUCGUG
rnacentral:rRNA from 1 species